rnacentral:rRNA from 1 species
GACGAACGCUGGCGGCGUGCUUAACACAUGCAAGUCGAACGGAAAGGCCCUGCUUUUGUGGGGUGCUCGAGUGGCGAACGGGUGAGUAACACGUGAGUAACCUGCCCUUGACUUUGGGAUAACUUCAGGAAACUGGGGCUAAUACCGGAUAGGAGCUCCUGCUGCAUGGUGGGGGUUGGAAAGUUUCGGCGGUUGGGGAUGGACUCGCGGCUUAUCAGCUUGUUGGUGGGGUAGUGGCUUACCAAGGCUUUGACGGGUAGCCGGCCUGAGAGGGUGACCGGCCAAAUUGGGACUGAGAUACGGCCCAGACCCCUACGGGAGGCAGCAGGGGGGAAUAUUGCACAAGGGGGGGAAGCCUGAUGCAGAAACGGCGCGGGGGGGAUGACGGCCUUCGGGUUGUAAACCGCUUUCGCCGGGGACGAAGGGUGAGGGACGGUAAGGGGUAAAGAAGACCCGGCUAACUACGU